AGAGUUUGAUCCUGGCUCAGGACGAACGCUGGCGGCGUGCCUAAUACAUGCAAGUCGAACGAGAGCGACCGGUGCUUGCACUGGUCAAUCUAGUGGCGAACGGGUGAGUAACACGUGGGUAACCUGCCCAUCAGAGGGGGAUAACAUUCGGAAACGGAUGCUAAAACCGCAUAGGUCUUCGAACCGCAUGGUUUGAAGAGGAAAAGAGGCGCAAGCUUCUGCUGAUGGAUGGACCCGCGGUGCAUUAGCUAGUUGGUGAGGUAACGGCUCACCAAGGCCGUGAUGCAUAGCCGACCUGAGAGGGUGAUCGGCCACAUUGGGACUGAUACACGGCCCAAACUCCUACGGGAGGCAGCAGUAGGGAAUCUUCCGCAAUGGAAGCAAGUCUGACGGAGCAAACGCCGCGUGAAUGAAGAAGGUUUUCGGAUCGAAAAACUCUGUUGUUAGGGAAGAACAAGUGCUAGAGUAGCUGUUAGCGCCUUGACGGUAUCUAACCAGAAAGCCACGGCUAACUACGUGCCAGCAGCCGCGGUAAUACGUAGGUGGCAAGCGUUGUCCGGAUUUAUUGGGCGUAAAGCGAGCGCAGGCGGUUCCUUAAGUCUGAUGUGAAAGCCCCCGGCUCAACCGGGGAGGGUCAUUGGAAACUGGGGAACUUGAGUGCAGAAGAGGAGAGUGGAAUUCCAUGUGUAGCGGUGAAAUGCGUAGAUAUAUGGAGGAACACCAGUGGCGAAGGCGACUCUCUGGUCUGUAACUGACGCUGAGGCUCGAAAGCGUGGGUAGCAAACAGGAUUAGAUACCCUGGUAGUCCACGCCGUAAACGAUGA
rnacentral:rRNA from 1 species